rnacentral:rRNA from 1 species
CCUCGCUCUGGAUUGCCCCCAGCCUGCGCCCUGCCCUAGACAGCAGACGCAAGUCUACCCUUUUUUUACAAGGUUGACCUCGGAUCAGGUAGGACUACCCGCUGAACUUAAGCAUAUCAAUAAGCGGAGGAAAAGAAACCAACAGGGAUUGCCCCAGUAACGGCGAGUGAAGCGGCAACAGCUCAGAUUUGGAAUCUGGCCCCCAGGGCCCGAGUUGUAAUCUGGAGAGGAUGUUUCUGGCGCGGCGCCUUCCGAGUUCCCUGGAACGGGACGCCGGAGAGGGUGAGAGCCCCGUACGGUUGGACGCCAAGCCUUUGUGAAGCUCCUUCGACGAGUCGAGUAGUUUGGGAAUGCUGCUCAAAAUGGGAGGUAAAUUUCUUCUAAAGCUAAAUACCGGCCAGAGACCGAUAGCGCACAAGUAGAGUGAUCGAAAGAUGAAAAGCACUUUGAAAAGAGGGUCAAACAGUACGUGAAAUUGUUGAAAGGGAAGCGCCCGUGGCCAGACUUGCGCCCUGCGGACCAACCGUCGGCUUUACCGGCGGUGCACUCCGCUGGGCGCAGGCCAGCAUCGGUUUUUCUAGGGGGAUAAAGGCGGCGGGAACGUGGCUCCCAUUGGGAGUGUUAUAGCCCGUCGUGCCAUGCCCCUGGGGG